GUGCUCACUUUGGCAGCACAUAUACUAAAACUGGAAUGAUACACAGAUUGGCAAGGCCCUUGCCCAACGAUGACAUGCGAAUUUGUGAAGUAUUCCAUAUUUUA
ensembl:snRNA U6 U6 spliceosomal RNA